GUUGCAGUUAUUUACUUAAAUGUGUAUGCCAUGUUAAGCACAACAAUACGGUUUUCAGUGUUCGACUCUUAAUAAUUAGCACUUCAAUAGUUGCAAUUUCAGUUGAUAAUCAUACGAUCGUAUGAUACGAUCACUUUUUAUCGUUUUAAAACGAACUCUUGGGUAGGUUUUGUGAAUAUAUCGUACAGAGCGAUAAAAGGCAAAAUAUACGAAAUCACUAUUUGAAAAUCUGACUAUUAUGUUGCAUAGUAAGACCCAAGCUGAUGAGAAGUUGACGCACAUAUCCAAAGCUCCGCCUCAAAUGGCAGGAUUGCAACUCAAAAAACCCGAACUCUUACCCGCUCAAUUUAAUGAUGCAUCUGUUGCUUUUGGAUUCCUUAUACAAAAAAGAGUUAUAUGAGCCGAAAACAUUACUGCUCACAUUGCGAUGCCUGUCUGGGAGUGUAUAAUAAUAAUUAAAAUAAUUACGAUUGACUAAUUUAUAUGUGAUAUAAAUGUUUUUUUAUUGGGGAAGUACAUAUAUGUAUUGGUUUUGCACU
rnacentral:misc_RNA from 1 species